rnacentral:rRNA from 1 species
CACCUCUAGCAAACCUAACACAUAUUAGAGGCACUGCCUGCCCAGUGAUAUAUUCAACGGCCGCGGUAUCCUGACCGUGCAAAGGUAGCAUAAUCACUUGUCCCUUAAAUAGGGACUUGUAUGAACGGCAACACGAAAGCCUAACUGUCUCCUUUAUCCACUCAAUGAAAUUGAUUUCCUCGUACAAAAGCGAGAAUAAACUAACAAGACGAGAAGACCCUAUGGAGCUUUAAACACAUAAUCAAUUCUACCAAUAUAGUCCACCUUAAAGAACACAAAAUUAUGAUUACACUGUUUUUGGUUGGGGCGACCACGGAGAAAACUUAACCUCCGAGUAAUAUAACUAAGAUAAAACAUAACAAAGUAUUAACACAUUAAACAUAGACCCAAUAAAAUUGAUCAACGAACCAAGUUACCCUAGGGAUAACAGCGCAAUCUUCUUCAAGAGCCCAUAUCGCCAAGAAGGUUUACGACCUCGAUGUUGGAUCAGGAUCCCCAGACAGUGCAACCGCCGUCAAAGGUUUGUUUGUUCAACAAUUAAAAUCCU